rnacentral:misc_RNA from 1 species
GAUGAAGAACGUAGCAAAAUGCGAUAAGUAAUGUGAAUUGCAGAAUUCAGUGAAUCAUCGAAUCUUUGAACGCACAUUGCGCCCGCUGGUAUUCCGGCGGGCAUGCCUGUUCGAGCGUCAUUUCAACCCUCAAGCCUCCGGGUUUGGUGUUGGGGAUCGGCUCUGCCCUUCUGGGCGGUGCCGCCCCCGAAAUACAUUGGCGGUCUCGCUGCAGCCUCCAUUGCGUAGUAGCUAACACCUCGCAACUGGAACGCGGCGCGGCCAUGCCGUAAAACCCCAACUUCUGAAUGUUGACCUCGGAUCAGGUAGGAAUACCCGCUGAACUUAAGCAUAUCAAUAAGCGGAGGA